CUCCUAUAUGACACCCCCAACAGACAGGGUCUAAGAUGCAUAUGCACCCACCCACUCAAGCCUCAAGCCUGUAUCUGCAUCUAUAUCCAGCAACAGGAACAAGAACCAAGGUAGCCACCGAUUUAACUUAGAGAACUCUCAAACCUCAGGUCAAUGUAUGGGGUGGAGGUGGGGCUUUUCCCUCAAGGAAUCCCCCUGCCAUUUUUGCCAUUGUAUUAAUUAAUAUCCCUGACAAGGUAGAAUUCCCUAAACAUGGAGGGGGUGAAAAAAUAAUGACUACUGAGACGAUAUUCCAUUUCUGGCCCCUGGGGGGAAUUGUUGUUUAUUUCUUUUCAGAGGAUCAAGAUAGUGUGAACUUUAGGGAGUGCUGUAAUUUACGGGAGGGAAGGGAUACAAGACUCAGGGCCCCAAGCAAUCGGUGGGAAACUAGAUCUCAAAACAGAAAAUGAAAAGUCGAUCUGGGGUAAGAUUUUUAAAUAAGUGGGUCAGAGGGACCGAGAGGAGAUGAGGCGAUCAAUCUUAGCCCCCUGACAGCUCCCUCGGAUGGCAUCAAAGAAUUUGGCUCUUUGGGAAAGCAGAGGGAACAGCCGAAAUUCCACAUCCCUUUAAAAGGCCUGGGGAUGGGGGGUGUUAGCAAAAGAGAAGGGUGAUUCUGGGAGAGCAGGGAAACAGAUGGGAAAUGGGGACAGAGGAAGGGCGCUGGGUUGGGUGGAAAGUUUGUCUGGAGAACUCCCACGGCUCUGGCCUCCCCUCCCCCUCCUUGCUCGCUGCCUCCUAGCAAGAAGGAGAAGGCUGGUUAGCAGAGAAAUGGCAUCUCGGCCGGGAGCUGGAACUAGAAACUUUCUGUCAAUGUAACAGACGCGUGGGUGGUGGUGAGUAUUCAUCCGCGUGGGUGGUGGGUGAGUAAAAAAAGACAGAGAAAUCUGAGGAAAAGGGUGGGGUGGAGGAGAGCCAGGAGGAAAAUAGGGGAGCUGGAGGCGAGGGCUGCAGGGCAGGGGGCGGCAAGCUCUGGAGGGUUCAGAUCCAGGAGAGCUGCUCUGAAAAACUGGGCAAACUCGCCAGAGACGGUUAGUUGUGUCCAGCUCAGCUCCAAAUAAAGUAAUUUUUGCUACUUGGAGGAGGGGAUGGGGGUGGGAGUGGGGAGUAGGCAGAGAAGAAUCUGAAGAGUAGUUGUCUGGAAGUUGUGCAGUGAGGCCUGAGAGGGUUCUUCCUCCGGCCACCCCCUUGAAAAGCCCUGCAAGUUUUUUCACAGUCUCUCCGGCUGGCUGCAGGGUUGAGCGCUUCUCUCCGCAACAACUCCGGCUGCCCCUGCAGGAAAUACGGCUCUCUCUAACCCUGCUGACAGAUUUUAUGGCCAGAUUAGAGAACAGCAGAACACUUGGGUGUUAAAAGGGACCAAGAGAACCUUCCUUCCCCGAGACACCGCUUCCCUGCCCCCUUGUUGUGCUGUGAAUCUUACAGCACAGAUAUUUCCCCCUUCACCAGAUAUUUUCCCCUUCCCCCUGCUUAGCUAGGGCCUGAAAUCCCUCAGAAGGAAGGGUAGGGGACACCAAGCCAAGGCAGCCCUUAUUUUUCUUGUUUGCAAUGACAAUUUCAAGCCAAGGCUCUGUUUUUCAAACUUGAGCUAAACUCUCUGACUUGGCCUGCCUUUCUCCUGCUAGAUAAAUAAUCUAUCCACUCUACCCCCAGAGCCAGACGUGGCGCUUCACCUAGUUACAUCAUUCAGAAGAUGUUACUCAGGGAAGAGGAAGAGAGAGAGAAAGACAGAAAGAAAGAAAAACCCUUGAGCGUUAUUUAAUCCCAAUCAAACUUUGCACGCUCUCAUGCCUUUAAAUUAUAGCCUGACCCAAUGCUAAAUUGCUUGCUGCUUAGGUGAGCCUAGUCCAGUUAAAAUCCUACUUGGUGGUGGUGGGGGGAGUGUAGAAUUCAGGUUGCUUUUUUAUUGUUAUUUAUUGUUGCAUAAAGACUGUAAUUACUAACCUUGGACUGCCAGGAUGCAACAUAAAAAUGAAAAUCAGCUCUCACUUUAAGGCUGAGGGCCUGGAACGAUUCUCACCGACACGCCCCCCCCCCCAUCACUAUCAACAAAUAUAUGCUCCUAAUUAAGCAAUGCGGGCGCAUCGCUUACAAUUAGAAUUAUGCAACUCUUCAGCAAGCAGCCAUCGCCUCUCUUUCAACGAAUUAGCUCCAUAUUUCAGCCACCCUGUCUCCUCGCUCUUAUCGGCUCCAGCGACGCGGCAGUGACAUUUCAUCUUUGACAGACUCUCUCUAUCCUCGCUCCAAUGUGAUAAAAGUUUUAUGGAACCACGACUAAGAAAUGAAGUUUUCCCAAGGAUAGUGGAAACAGAGCAGCACAUUAGCCUGGGGACCAUUUUAUUUACGCUUGGAUCCAACAGCUUCUCCUACCCUCCUCCUCUCCCCUCUCCCUGGCAGUGGAAAUCAAACACGCCUCCUCUCCCUCCGCCCUGAGUUUUAUUUAGUGAUUUAAUUUCACUUUAGUUUUAAGGUUUGACCUGAGAAGUCUAGGCCUCAGAUUUUUUUUUUAGAUUAAUCAUUUUCCUUUGUUUUCAUUUUAGACCCAAUGGUGGUUGGGCUUCGGGUCACGUGACGACUUCUUUGUCGCUCCGGAAGAGAACUGUGAAGUUUAGGUUGCGUGAGAAUUGCCAGGAAAAAAAAAAAUCAAGAUUUGGGGGAAUUACCCACAUAGAUGUAAGGUGUGUUAACUUGGGCGCUUCUUGGAUUCUACCCUGAGGAGGAGGCGCAUGAUCUUGAUUUGCCGCUCGCUGAGGUUCAGCAGGUUGGCCAUCUCCACGCGGCGCGGCCGGCACAGGUAGCGGUUGAAGUGGAACUCCUUCUCCAGCUCCACCAGCUGCGCGCUAGUGUACGCCGUCCGCGCCCGUUUGGAC